CUGGUGUCGGUUUGUUUUACUAGACAACUUUAUUACAGGCUUAAAAUAAAUUCGAAAUAUUCAGAGUAUAAAAAAGGCUGGUUAAGUGUUAUGAACAUUCGGAGUUUAAAACAGUUUUUGUAUAAAAAUUCAAUGUGACAUCGGUUUAAAAUCAAUAGUUGGUUGGUGUAGGUUUUUAUCGAAUUUAUAACAGGUUAGUAUAAAAAUAGAUAUUGAGGUUUGUAAAAGUAGCACGCUUAGCACAAUCUAUAUUUAUAAAAGUCCACGAUUUUUAACUUGAUAAAGUAACCAGCACGCUUUUAGAAACACUCAUAAAUAGAUUUAUUCAUAUUGCCUUUUAACGAAUGUUGUUUUACCCUUUUCCGUUUUUUGUUGCUUCAAUUCCUUGGAUCUUCGUUAUCGGAUUUUAUGAGUUGAAUAAAUUUAAACUUUGUUACGGCAUCUGUAACAUAAUCUUGCGGCGGAGGUUGAAAGUUGUAAGUACCGGUGUACAAGCUUGUAAUAGAUGUGUAAACAGGGAUGCAAGGAAACCGAUAAAAGUCGUUUCGAUGUGGCGGAGAUUUCCUGACCGAAAAAGGCGAAAACACAAGCAAGCGACUCGAGAGAGAGGGCUGGGAGUGUUUCAGAUCAGGCAGUCGCCGGUUUGUGUAAUUACUGCGUGUUCGAGUUGUUAGUUGUCGGUUUGAUGAUAAGAAUGAUAUCAGCGCUGCAGAAAUGAACCGAAUUUUAUUAAUGGAAUGUUGGUAACAGAACUGGUAUGCUGUGUGGUGUGUGUACAGUUGUAUUGGUUGUUUUGUUAUUUAUAGAAAAGACUUCAGUAUGAACAGCAUGUGUUAAAUUUAGUCGUGACUAUCUGUGCGAACAUUAUAAGCAUAUACUGUAGCAUGGACCUCAUCAAUGUAAAAUAACAAUGCUGUCUAAUUGUUAGUUAGUGUUUUUAAAUCUGCGGCAAUAAUGUAGUUAUGUAGAAGUAUAAUGACUAUUCGUGUGUUAGAUGGUUUCUUGUAUUCCAAAGUGAAAAUGAACCAUGUCGUCGUCGUGUAAUGAACCACAGCGUAUUUAAUGCAGUAAUUUAAUUAAGUUUCAUUUGCUAAUUACGUCAUAUUGUGUAUAAUGCAAAGCAGUCUAUGUUUCUAAUGUGUUGUGUUGUCUACUUCUUUACGACGUGACUCGAGUUACGAAUGAAAGGAUAUGACGUAUUAUGAACCACUUCCGCGAGACAACAGUUUAGGGAUUUCACUUUUGUGUUGUGGUAUGGCUUAAUUGAUGAAAAUCAACAUUUUGUUGCUUAUAAUAUAAUUUGUUGAUGAUAUAUAAAUAAUAUAUCUAUGUAUGUUUCAACAUUGUAUAAUAUUGCAUUAAUACAAACGCGUUAUAUACUUAGCUACAGCAUAACUUAUACAAACCAUAGCUUUGAGGUAACUUGUCGAAAUACAGUUAUAUUAAAGCAAGUAUAUAUCGCAUAUUUACAACGUGUAUUCCGUACUAUAAGUUCGCUUAGUUUCUAAAGUGCGUUUUCAAAAGGUUUCUAAAGUGUAUUCUGGUACAGCAUCGUGCUUUACUGAUGGGCGUGUAGAUAGGUCGUUAUAUAUACAUGUAUUAUAAUUGUGCGUGAUUGUUAUGGAAUAAUGGAUUAUUCUAGUAAAACUUUCAUUAUGCAAUAAUUAAAUUUGUUACGAUGUAUAUACCUUUGUUACGUCACACAGAGGUUUAUGUGAUCACGAUGGAAACCUUGGGUGCGUAAAAUGCUGGUAAUUCACUUGCUGGUAAUAUUUACCUCUAGUUUAACUAUAAAUAAACACAGAGGGUAAAUACAGGCGGUUCGUUUUGUAUUUCCCAUUUUACUUAUUUUAUAAACAAGUUACCGUGACCGUUAUUCAAUGGGGAAUUGAAUAACAAACAAUCUAUCAACAAAACAGUUUCCUAAGCGCCGAUUUAGCAGACAAGGGCGCGACGGGACACCAAUCUCUUACACUGGGUUUUAAACUUAGGAAAAGCAAAGACAUUUCCCAAAAGAAACCAUCAUGGUUUAAUAUAGGAAGUUUGUGCCGCUUGGGAAACCGGUGUAACUUGAAUGACUCAUGGUGUCUGGUGUAUAAACUUCCACUGGUAAUGGAUAACUUAGUUAUCGACUAACUACUAACAUAUUAAACCUUAAUCGUGAAUUAAUAUUCCCUGUUAUUCGUGGUUACAGUCGUUUCGUCUCCUGACGUAUUCAGAAAUCGAAUUGACAAAAACAUUUUUUACAAAAGUUUAAUAAAAAUAACAGACGUAAACAAAAACGACUUAAAACAAAUGUAGUAUAUUUUAUUAAUGGAGCAUGGGACCAGGGGUGUUGAGUGUCUCUGUAACAGCGAGCCCUGAAAGUGUAACUAGUUUAAACUGUUAAAUCAAAUUUUAAUUCCAGUCAUCGUUAAAGCUACGUUUAUAGUUUAAAGGCUGCAGUCUUGAAGUAAACGACGUUGCGGUCUUGAAGUAAACGACAACGAUAGAUAAAAAGUAACCCCUCUUACCCAAUCCUCCCGUGUGGAAGUGAUAACAUUGUGGGAAAAUAUGAUAAGGGUAAUCUAGAGUGUUAUCGAUAAAGGGGUUUUGAGUUUCGUUUGACUUGAGUGCCUUGGGUCUAAAUUUCGGUACACUGUUUGUCGUUUAUCCUAUGGUACACUGUUCCUCGUUUAUCCCACGUGGUUUCCUAAAUUCUGUUGUGUACGAUUUUAAAUAUGAUAUUUUACGCUUGUGGUGUUCCGCAAACAGAUCCAAAUGUGACUUUAUGAAACACCCAUCUAUAUCACGGUCUGGUACACUGUCUGUUGUUUAUCACAUACCCUGGCACCCUGUCUGUCGUUUAACUUUUAAAACCCAAAUUUACAUCCCUUGUGCAAAGAGAAACCAUCUAUAAUUGUUAAUUUACAUCCAACAACGUUUCGUAUACAGCAGGUGCUUGGCCAUUAACGUUUAUUUACGACCGAUAAAAAAAUCUGCUCAAAAUAAAUUGAGUUAUCGCCAAUAGCGAAUCGAUUAUGACGCAAUAAAUAUCAUUUUAUCUUC